GACGAACGCUGGCGGCGUGCUUAACACAUGCAAGUCGAACGGAAAGGCCCUGCUUUUGUGGGGUGCUCGAUUGGCGAACGGGGGAGUAACACGUGAGUAACCUGCCCUUGACUUUGGGAUAACUUCAGGAAACUGGGGCUAAUACCGGAUAGGAGCUCCUGCUGCAUGUGGGUGGUUGGAAAGUUUCGGCGGUUGGGGAUGGACUCGCGGCUUAUCAGCUUGUUGGUGGGGUAGUGGCUUACCAAGGCUUUGACGGGUAGCCGGCCUGAGAGGGUGACCGGCGACAUUGGGACUGCGAUACGGCCCAGACUCCUACGGGAGGCAGCAGUGGGGAAUAUUGCACAAUGGGCGGAAGCCUGAUGCAGCAACGCCGCGUGCGGGAUGACGGCCUUCGGGUUGUAAACCGCUUUCGCCUGUGACGAAGCGUGAGUGACGGUAAUGGGUAAAGAAGCACCGGCUAACUACGUG
rnacentral:rRNA from 1 species